GGUAGCGUGGCCGAGUGGUUAUGGCGCUAGUUUCAGGCUUCAUUAUUCAAGACUUUACUAGUUCGAAAGAGCGUGGGUUCGAGUCCCACCGCUAUCA